rnacentral:rRNA from 1 species
UACGUAGGGGGCUAGCGUUGUCCGGAUUUAUUGGGCGUAAAGAGCGUGUAGGCGGCCAGGUAGGUCUGCUGUGAAAACUCGAGGCUCAACCUCGAGACGUCGGCGGAAACCAUCUGGCUAGAGUCCGGAAAGAGGAGAGUGGAAUUCCUGGUGUAGCGGUGAAAUGCGCAGAUAUCAGGAAGAACACCCGUGGCGAAGGGCGGCUCUCUGGGACGGUACUGACGCUGAGACGCGAAAGCGUGGGGAGCGAACAGGG